GCCAGGCACGGUGGUGCGUGCCUGUAGUCCCAGCUACUCAGGAGGCUGAGAUGGGAGGAUCGCUUGAGCCCAGGAGUUCUGGGCUGUAGUGCGCUAUGCCAAUUGGGUGUCCGCACUAAGUUCAGCAUCAAUAUUGUGACCUCCCGGGAGCGGGGGACCACCAGGUUGUCUAAGGAGGGGUGAACUGGCCCAGGUCAGAAACGGAGCAGUUCAAAACUCCCAUGCUGAUCAGUAGUGGGAUCACGCCUGUGAAUAGCCACUGCACUCCAGCCUGGGCAACAUAGUGAGACCCCGUCUCU
rnacentral:SRP_RNA from 1 species